rnacentral:rRNA from 1 species
AGAAUCAACGCUGGCGGCGUGCCUAACACAUGCAAGUCGAACGAGAAAGUGGAGCAAUCCAUGAGUAAAGUGGCGACCGGGUGAGUAACACGUGACUAACCUACCUUCGAGUGGGGGAUAACAUCGGGAAACCGAUGCUAAUACCGCAUAACAUCGCAAGAUCAAAGCAGCAAUGCGCUGGAAGAGGGGGUCGCGGCUGAUUAGCUAGUUGGCGGGGUAACGGCCCACCAAGGCGAAGAUCGGUAGCCGGCCUGAGAGGGCGCACGGCCACACUGGAACUGAAACACGGUCCAGACUCCUACGGGAGGCAGCAGUGGGGAAUUUUGCGCAAUGGGGGAAACCCUGACGCAGCAACGCCGCGUGGAGGAUGAAGCCCCUUGGGGUGUAAACUCCUUUCGACCAAGACGAUAAUGACGGUACUGGUGGAAGAGCACCGGCUAACUCUGUGCCAGCAGCCGC